CGUGCCUGACCCGAUGAGUAAAUUGUUAGUGAAGCAAUUCACAAAGCAGAAUAUAGCUUGAAGUUGUGUAUAAGAACAAAAUCAUUCUCCAGAAAAGAAUGUAAAACAGAUCUAACAGAUCUCCCCCAUUCAUAAUGAGGUCGUACGUGUUAUAGGAACGGAGAUAAUUGCUUGUUUAAACUCGAGUGACCUCGUGCCUGACCCGAUGAGUAAAUUGUUAGUGAAGCAAUUCACAAAGCAGAAUAUAGCUUGAAGUUGUGUAUAAGAACAAAAUCAUUCUCCAGAAAAGAAUGUAAAACAGAUCUAACAGAUCUCCCCCAUUCAUAAUGAGGUCGUACGUGUUAUAGGAACGGAGAUAAUUGCUUGUUUAAACUCGAGUGACAUCGUGCCUGACCCGAUGAGUAAAUUGUUGGUGAAGCAAUUCACAAAGCAGAAACUAGCUUGAAGUUGUGUAUAAGAACAAAAUAAUUCUCCAGAAAAGAAUGUAAAACAGAUCUUAAAUGAUUGUAAUAAACGGAGAAGUAAUUCUGUCAGGUUAUGUCCGGGUGGUUAAGAUUAUAGGGUUAUGAGACGACGGGUUAAGGUUGUAAUAAGAGAUGGGGUUGAUAAUAAAACGACAUGAGAGU